UGCUUCCGGCCGGGCGCGGGCGCGGCGCACAGCUUGCGCGCACCACUGCCCGGCAUGGAAGAGCGCGGCGACUCCGAGCCCUCCCCGGGCUGCAGCGGCCAGGCCCCGGCCGGCGCUCGCGGCGAAGGCGGUGGCGACGGUGGCGGUGGCGGCGCCCAUCCAUGGGCUCCGGAGGACGCCUGGAUGGGCACCCACCCAAAGUAUUUAGAAAUGAUGGAAUUAGAUAUAGGAGAUGCUACUCAAGUUUAUAUAGCAUUCUUGGUUUACCUGGACCUCAUGGAGAGUAAAAGUUGGCAUGAGGUAAACUGUGUGGGAUUGCCGGACCUCCAGCUCAUCUGCCUGGUUGGUACUGAGAUAGAAGGAGAAGGGCUACAGACUGUGGUGCCUACAUCCAUCAAUGCUUCCCUCAGCCAUAACAGGAUAAGGGAGAUCUUGAAGGCAUCUCGAAAAUUGCAAGGUGAUCCAGAUUUGCCGAUGUCUUUUACUUUGGCCAUAGUGGAGUCCGAUUCCACAAUAGUCUAUUAUAAACUUACUGAUGGAUUUAUGCUGCCAGACCCUCAGCCAGCCAGAUACCCGCUAAUGUGAAUAAAGGUCCAGAACAGUUUGGAAAGGAGACAACCCAGCUGUAUCUGUCUCAUUUUAGUGGACAACUAGAAAUUUCAGGCUCAGGUUACAUAGCCAGAGACUCCCAUCCUGAAACACUUGCUGAACUGGCUGCUUACCACUGGUGAAAGACGCAAAUUGCUGCUGGAAUACACAUGCACUGUUCCAUAGGAGGGCAGCCCUCUCCAGACUGGUGAUGUUUUGUGGAUUGACAUUUGUGUGUAGACCACACUUUGAGUAGCAUGUAUUAGAGUUCAGAUGACAUGUGCUGAGAACCUGCACUCCAACAGUAGCCCAGACUUGGAGUCCUUAUUCUGGGAAUCAGGUCAACAGAGCCUCCACCUUCUGGAAUGUUGGUUCCAGUGUCAGGAAGAAGAAAGGACUGUAGUGUCUGCAAUAAAAUGCUUCCAGCAGAAGCAGCAUAUGGCACCCCUGCCCACAUUUUGUUGGCCAAAGCAAGUCACAUGGCCGGCCAUGAUCAACUUCCGGAAGGAGAGGAUGUGAAUUCUACCAUGUUCCUGGACAAGUAGGAGGAAUAGUCAGAGAACAGCAUUUCCAGGUAAUGGAAAGGAGAGGAGAGACAGCACGGAGGCAGAUUUAACAACUGAUUAGCUGUGGGAAUAGAGGAGUUAAAGCUCAACCUAUAUUGAGUCACUUUAAGUUUCAUAUUGCAAUGGGAAGAUAGUGAGAGGAUGUUGCAAGAAGGACAGCGCUAAACCACCAAGGUGGGAAAAGGGCCAACCUAGGAGCUAGGAGGAGAGGAGAGUUUGGAAGACAAACUUUCCCCGACUUUUCUGCUUAGACUAUGGGUUAGCAUCUCAGAAGGAAAAUCUUUUAUGAGUCAAGAGCGUAGGACCACUGUAGACCUCCCUCCCCUCCCUCUUCUGAUGCAUCUGGGCUGUACGCAGAGUAUGUUGUCCUAGUCUUAACUUCCUAAGAAUGGGGAAAAGAAAGCAUUUGUGCCUACCGUGUAGGGGAUUUGGUUGGGUCCUGCGAGAAUCUUUUGAAACAAGCUGUUAAAACAUGGACUCUCGGGUGGUGCUGGAUUUGUGAGGAACCUGGGGUGGAUAACUAUCUAGUCGGAUCAUGACCUGGAGUAUUUGUAGACCUAGGGGCACUUGCUACAUUAACAUGGUUGGGGGGCAGACAUCAGCCCAUGCUGGCAUUGGCUGACUUGAGCGUCCUCCUGCAGUGCCCGUGUUCCACACAAGUCACCACCAUGUCCUCCUAAUCCCCGGCCAAGUGCUCCUUCAGAUCUGAAUCUCUCGGCUAUUCCACUUGGGACGUGGAAGAUUCUUGGUUCUGUGCCUCAACUCAACAGGCGUGUGAGGGAACUUUAAGGCUGUCUCAGGUCCUCUCCAUCUCGAUUUGCUUUCCCUGUUGUCACCACAAAAGGCUGUGUGGGUGACUGUCAGAGACUUUAUCUGAGCCUGGAGGCAGCAGUGGGAGUUUGGGCAUGGGUGCUGGCCACAAAAACCCACACGUGAAUGAGGGGGAUCCCCCAAUUUCCUGUUGUCUCCUCUGCUCCAGAAACUCGGACGGGGUCAGGGCAAAGGGAAGGGAACUGGGCCUCUGCUCGGUGACCCAUGCAAGGGCCUAAUUUUUCCAUGUUUGCUCUCACCUGUCCCUGCCAGGUUUCUCCCUCUAGUUUUAUCUUAGGGCUAGAAACAAAUCUAUGACCAUUUCUGAUCGAAUUUCUUCCAAACAUACUGUUUUUGCCAACAUUUCAGGUUUUGAAAUUCAAAAGGCAAGAAUUUGCCUCUUUUGCUCUAUAGUAUAAUCCCAUGCCCAGGCACUGUGCCAGGAAGCCUGUAUGGGAAAAGGUUCUCAGGUAACAAGAAUUACUGAGGGGAAAACAUAGCAGUUCACAUAUCAAAAUAUUUUCCGACUACAUUCACAAACAUGUUAAUUAUCAUUAAUGUGCAUAUUUCUCUCAUAAGAAUUUUUUUAGGCAUAUCAGGCGGCAUCCGACCUAUUGGUGAUAUAGUACUUGGCCCAGAGUAAGAGCUCCAUAGUAUUUUAUUUGAUUGCAUUUAAAUGUCCACAGGUGGACUACUUUUCGCCCAGUGCUCUCUCUGCCACUAUAAGAUCAGGGCAAGGAUCAGCUGUCCUUGUUCUAUCAACCGUGUAGCAAAGGAGGAGCUGUGUUUCUUGGGCAGUGAGAGAGCUUACCCCAUGAUAAAUGCUUCUUUGAACAUGCUUAUGCUGUGAAAUCCAUGAGGGCUUCACUUCUGUAAAGGGAGGAGAGGACCUGUGCUCUCCUCAUCCUUCAAUGACCUGAAGAUUUUGCGAUGCCCCAGACCUUAAAACACUGUGUGUUUGCCGACAUUGCUUAUUUUUUAUUACCUCAUAUUUUUUUAGUAGUCAUUCUUUAGGCAAGGAAUGAGAAUUUGCAGCUUCUAAUUGUUUCCUGGCAUGAACCUAGUACCUUUUUAGCUUGUUUGUUUUUUUCUUCUUCUUCUGGCUGCACAGAACAUUUCUCUAAAUAUAGAAUGGUGCUUGCUAUGGACAAGGCUGGAAUAAGAUAAAAUUUUCUUUUCAAUCAAUUCCCAUGCAUCUUCUAGUGAGCACUAGGUACUGUUCUUUUCUCAGAGUGGCAAGAGUGGGCAGCAGAAGGGAGUGAUAUGGAGUGGUGGAGCUUUCUAAAGCAGAAGUCCAUCACUGCAAAGCCCUCUGAGGAGACAGCGAGGCCAAGGUGGCCGAUGCUUUGGGGCUGGCUCUCCUGUGACCUCAGGUGAGCCACACGGUAAUGGGGUGAUGGGCAGCAGCACAUACCUGCCCUUUGGAGGCAGGGCAGGUAGCAAAAGGGGUGCAGGCUUCAACAGCCCUGAUUGGAUCUCCUGCUGUGCCACACAGUUAAGGGUGACCUUGGAUAAGUUGUUUAACCUCAUCUACAAAAUGGGUGGUACUAAUAAAACCUGGCUCUUAGAGCCCUCAUGCGGGUUAAACGAGAUGAAUAUGUAUAAAUUAUUUGGCAAACUUUCAAGAAAUGGUAGCUAUUAUUUUUUGUAGCUGAUAUUUUAUAGCAUUAAUGUUUCAAAUAUGACCAUAUUUUUAGUUUUGUUUCUGCGGGAAGUUAUUUAUGUAAAUUCAUUUAUAAUAUUAACCAAAAGCAGCUCUCACAUACCUUGUGAAUCAGAUACAAAUCUUUAUUACCUUCAUUUAUUCUGGUGGGAGGGUUUUAUUAUUAGAGGCAGUGCCGGCUAAUGGUUAGAGCAGGGGCUUUGGCACUAUAGUCUUUUGGGCUCAAAUCUUGAUGUGUGAUCUUGAGCAAGUUAAUUAACUUCUCUGAGACACAAUCCUUUGUCUGCAAUUCCAAAAUAAGACUACGCCACUUAGUCUUCCUAUUUGGUACUGAAAUACUGGACUCCCCGGACUCUGAUGGGGGUUUUGCAAUACAUGCUACAUGUACGCUGUUUAUUAAAUCUGAAUUAUGAAUUUUAAAACUCAUCUGGCUCCAAGGGUUUUGGUACAGAAUAUGUGAUACACCCUCAUAGGAUUAUCUUGAGUUACAUCAACUUCAUGUAAGCCUUUUGGAACCUUAUUAGCUAUUAUUGUCAUCCUUGGAACAAUCCUUUGAGGCAGCAAUUAUGAUCCCGAUUUACAGAUGAAGAAAAUCAAGCACAGAGAAGUGAAAUUGCCACAUAGUUCAUAUGUGGUAGAGCUGGAAUCCAAGUAGGAAUUUCUGACUCAAAGCCUAUGCAUUCUACUGAAACAGAUUAAUUUCUAGGGCCCUGUACAUGCUCACCCCCAAUUAAGAUUCCACUUAGAGAGGUUAGGGUAUAUAGUUAAACACCAUCAGCGAGGGCUGCUCCCUUUGGACAUCUCUACAGGCAGCCCUGCUCUGGU